rnacentral:rRNA from 1 species
AUUGAACGCUGGCGGCAGGCCUAACACAUGCAAGUCGAACGAGUGGCGGACGGGUGAGUAAUGUCUGGGAAACUGCCUGAUGGAGGGGGAUAACUACUGGAAACGGUAGCUAAUACCGCAUACCAUCAGAUGUGCCCAGAUGGGAUUAGCGAGUUGGUGGGGUAACGGCUCACCAAGGCGACGAUCCCUAGCUGGUCUGAGAGGAUGACCAGCCCCCCUUGGCCUGAGACACGGUCCGGACUCCUACGGGAGGCAGCAGUGGUGAAUUUUGCACAAUGGGCGCAAGCCUGAUUCAGCCAUUCCUCGUGUAUGAAUAAGGCCUUCGGGUUGUAAAGUACUUUCAGCGGGGAGGCGUUACCCGCAGAAGAAGCACCGGCUGACUCCGUGCCAGCAGCCGCGGUAAUUC